GUUUAUGUGAAGUUAAUAAGUAUAGGAAAAUGAAAAACCGGGAAAAGCAAGUUAUGUUGGAUCUCGUCAAUGCAGAAAACAGAUUUCUGAUCAGCCAGCAACUCAAUCCUUUGGUAUGGAGAUGCUUAAAAGUGUAGGGUAGCCUGAAAUACCUGCUGAAGAGUUAAAGUCAGUUUCAUCGCCGCAAUUUCUCGAUGAGCAGUCAACUAAUAGUGAUGAACGACGACGAGUUUCUAAACGAAAAUAUAC
rnacentral:misc_RNA from 1 species